rnacentral:rRNA from 1 species
CCUUAUGGUCAUACAACUCUGGGUGCCUGAUUUUGUCUGAUCUCAGAAUUAAAGGGUUGGGAUUGGUUAGUACUUGGAUGGGAGACCACCUAGGAACACUAAGUGCUGUAAGCU